rnacentral:sRNA from 1 species
CAAUGAGGAAGCCUGGCAGGAUGGAGGGCGAGGCCUGGCAGCUGUAGUGCUUCUGGGCAGUAGAGGCGCGGGGUGCGGAGCUAGGGCGGCCGAGAGCCAUGGCGGCGCUAUUGGCGGCGGCGGCAGUGCGAGCCCGGAUCCUGCAGGUUUCUUCCAAGGUGAAAUCCAGUCCCACCUGGUAUUCAGCAUCUUCCUUCUCUUCUUCAGUGCCAACUGUAAAGCUCUUCAUUGGUGGGAAAUUCGUUGAAUCCAAAAGUGACAAAUGGAUCGAUAUCCACAACCCAGCCACCAAUGAGGUCAUUGGUCGGGUCCCUCAGGCCACCAAGGCAGAAAUGGAUGCAGCCAUUGCUUCCUGUAAACGUGCUUUUCCUGCAUGGGCAGACACUUCAGUAUUAAGCCGCCAGCAGGUCUUGCUCCGCUAUCAACAACUUAUUAAAGAAAACUUGAAAGAAAUUGCCAAGUUAAUCACAUUGGAACAAGGAAAGACCCUAGCUGAUGCUGAAGGAGAUGUAUUUCGAGGCCUUCAGGUGGUUGAGCAUGCCUGUAGUGUGACAUCCCUCAUGAUGGGAGAGACCAUGCCAUCCAUCACCAAAGACAUGGACCUUUAUUCCUACCGUCUGCCUCUGGGAGUGUGUGCAGGCAUUGCUCCAUUCAAUUUUCCUGCCAUGAUCCCCCUUUGGAUGUUUCCCAUGGCCAUGGUGUGUGGAAAUACCUUCCUAAUGAAACCAUCUGAGCGAGUCCCUGGAGCAACUAUGCUUCUUGCUAAGUUGCUCCAGGAUUCUGGUGCCCCUGAUGGAACAUUAAACAUCAUCCAUGGACAGCAUGAAGGUAACUGCCCUUCUGCAUAUGGCUACUUAAUCUGGCUACCAAAAAAUCAAGGUGUUGAGUGAUGGUUGGAUGUUUUAGGAUAAGGAACCUACUUGUAAGGAGGAAAGGAUUUACUCAUUUUAACCUCCAUGUUUGUUGAUGAUUUUGCCAUCUUUGUGCGCCAAGGUAACUGAUUGGGGAAUAGCAGUGCUUGUUGCCCUACAGUAUAUAUUGGGACACUAGAAAUAUGGAUUAGGGCUAGACACAGAUAAGAUUAAAAAGAAACUUUUUUCUUCAGUGUGAAGAGAAUACAUGAGGGUAUUUAAUUCAGAGAAUUUGCAGAUCUCAGAGAUACUGAAGGCCUUCUAAUUCAUGUAAUAAUAGCUAAUACUUAGUGCUUCUGUGUUUCAGGCACCGUUCCUAGUGCUUUUUAUCUAUUAAUCUUUAUAAUCACCCUUUGAGGUAGGUAUUAUUUUUCCAUUUUGCAGAAGAGAAAAAUGAGACAUAGUGAA